rnacentral:rRNA from 1 species
GAAAUUUAACGGAUUUGGCGGCAAGAUAGCCCCUUAGAGGAACCUGCCCUGUAAACGAUGAACCACGAGGGACUCUACUUCUUUUGGUAAUCAGUUUGUAUAUCGCUGUUGUCAGUUAGAUUCUUGAGAAUAUUUUCAUUCAUGAAAAGUUCAAUGACUUCAAGUAAAGGUGCAGCUUAUAACGAAGAUAGAGGUGGGUUACAUUUAUAAGAAUAAAACGGAAAGGAUAGAUGAAAUAGUCCUUGAAGGUGGAUUUAACUGUAAAACUUAAUUAGGUUUGGUGAGAGCUCUAUCUUGUGUACACACCGCCCGUC